rnacentral:rRNA from 1 species
UACGUAGGGCGCAAGCGUUAUCCGGAUUCAUUGGGCGUAAAGAGCUCGUAGGCGGCUAUUCAAGUCGAACGUGAAAUCUCGGAGCUCAACUCCGAGCCUGCGUUCGAUACUGGGUAGCUAGAGUCUGGUAGGGGGAUCUGGAAUUCCUGGUGUAGCGGUGGAAUGCGCAGAUAUCAGGAGGAACACCGGUGGCGAAGGCGGAAUCCUGGGCCAGUACUGACGCUGAGGAGCGAAAGCGUGGGGAGCAA